rnacentral:tRNA from 1 species
AACCUGAUAGUUUAGAGGUUAUGAUUCCUGCUUUAGGUGCAGGAGGUCCUGGGUUCAACUUUCAGUCAGGCCCUUA